AUUGAACGCUGGCGGCAGGCCUAACACAUGCAAGUCGAGCGAGCGGCGGACGGGUGAGUAAUGCCUGGGAAUUGCCCAGUCGAGGGGGAUAACAGUUGGAAACGACUGCUAAUACCGCAUACGAUUGGAUGGCCCAGGGUGGGUUAGCUAGUUGGUGAGGUAAUGGGUCACCAAGGCGACGACCCCUAGCUGGUCUGAGAGGAUGAUCAGCCCCACUGGACCUGAGACACGUUCCAGACUCCUACGGUAGGCAGCAGUGGGGAAUAUUGCACAAUGGGGGAAACCCGGAUGCAGCCAUGCCGCGUGUUGGAAGAAGUCCUUCGGGUUGUAAAGCACUUUCAGCGAGGAGGCGUUACUCGCAGAAGAAGCACCGGCUAACUCCGUGCCAGCAGCCGCGGUAAUUC
rnacentral:rRNA from 1 species